GAGCACCGGUAGCUCAUUUGGUAGAGCGUGCGAUUGCAAUUUGGCAAUAAUCGCAAGGUAGCGCGUUCGAUCCGCGCCCGGGGCUUC
rnacentral:tRNA from 1 species